rnacentral:miRNA from 1 species
GUGUUGAAACAAUCUCUAUUG